ACGGUUAUUGACGGAGCAGAAUCUGACGGCAAUGUGCUGAUUUUUCCUGAGAUGAUCAAAUACAAGGGUUUGACGGACUUCAAUGUGGAUGCCUUCGUUGAGGAUGUUCUUGUGAACAGGGAGAUUGAGUUGCGAGGACUGAAGGGCCAGGUGUUUGUAAGUGCUUGCUCUCAACUCACAUUGGAGGGCACAAGUAUGCUGGGAACUUGAUUAUCUUCAGCCUAGAUUCCGAGGGAAAGAUUAUGGGCAACUGGUAUGGCUAUGUUACUCCUGAUGAUAUACCUGAAUUGCUGGAUCAGCAAAUUGCAAAGGGAGAAAUAAUAGAACGCCUUUGGAGGGGUAAAAUGGGGGAUUCUACUGAAGGAGGCGAACAGAAGCUUCCAAAUGGGACCGAAGCGAAGCAAAAUGAGAAGCAUGAAGAAACUACUGCUUAGAAGACAACAGAAAAUGUGGGUGGUUGUUGUCAGAGUGCUAACAGGUUUACCUGUUGCAUGAGUCAUGACUGCUAGCUCGGAACCAAGUGAAGAACUGAGAGAAGUGCCCGGAAAGACUGGGUUGUGCAAACUGAGAAGCUGGGUAGAAUCAUGGGAGCAACGUGACGUUCUUACGGCAGCAGCUGUGGUUGGAGCUACAGCGACCAUUGCCUUGGCUUAUAGCUACUAUAGAAGGUCAGGCUGAAGGAUUCUUUGUAAUCCUAAGUCUUACAGUUUGCUUGUGUGUUGUGUUACAUACGCCUGUUUUUCGGUCGCCGAUGCGGUAGUUGAUAAAAUAAUCCUCCAGACGACAAACUUGUUUAGGAGGUUGAUACGGAUAUUCGGAUUUUACAAUAUCGGUAUUCAGAAU